rnacentral:rRNA from 1 species
AAACGCUUGAAGUCAGUCGCAUCCUUCAGAAAUCAACCUGGCCGCUAGGCCUGGUGUACUUUCUGUUUGGAUGGGCCAACAUCAAUUUUGAUCGUUGGAUAAGGGCCUCGGGAAUGUGGCAUCUUCGGAUGUGUUAUAGACCUUGGUCGGAUACAACGGUUGGGAUUGAGGAACUCAGUGUUUACACUUAGGAUGCUGGCAUAAUGGCUUUAAUCGA